rnacentral:lncRNA from 1 species
GGUGUGGUGAGAAGUAUCAGGCAAUUGAAGCACAGAGUGGUAAUCUAAGAUAGGAGAACACAGGUGGAACAGGUUUUGGUGAGAAGGAGGAGCACAGGUGGAACAGCUUUUGGGGAGACAAUCAGCAGUUUUAUUUGGGAUAUGUGAAGUUUUUGGUGUCUGGUAGACCUCCCGGUGGAGAAGCUGUGUAGCAGGGGCCCAUAUAAGCCUGGAGUUCAGGAGAAAGCCUGGGCUGGAGGUACACGUUGGGGAGUUGCUGACAGUUAGGUUUAUUUAAAAAACGAAGUCAAAUGAAAUCACUGAGGGAGUGAGGGUAGGGAGAAAGAGAACCAAAUAUUGAGGGUGGAGGCACUCUCACUUAAGAAGAUGGGGAAAACAGGAGGAACCUGCAAAGGAGAAUGAAAAGGAGUGGAGUCAGGUGUCUCGGCAGCCAAAGGAGGAAGUGGUCGCCUCUGACAGACAGUGCCGACAGGCCAAGUAAGAAGGAAGAUGGCAGAUAGAAGGCAGGACUAACUUGCAGCUCCAGCUUUGACAAAUAGAGCAGCAUGUGGAGACUCACAUCAUUAACUUUUGCUCCAGAACUACUGCAGGAAUAUACCAGGAAUGCUGAGCGAAUCCAUAGACGCUCUGAAGGAAGUGGAUUGCUCCUGCAGGACCUGGG